rnacentral:rRNA from 1 species
UUUCGAAUCAUUCACAAUGGGCGAAAGCCUGAUGGUGCGACGCCGCGUGAGGGAUGAAGGUCUUCGGAUUGUAAACCUCUGUCACUGGGGAGAAAACGCUUUGAGUUAAUAGUUCAAAGCCUGAUUUAACCCGGAGAGGAAGCAGUGGCUAACUCUGUGCCAGCAGCCGCGGUAAUACAGAGACUGCAAGCGUUAUUCGGAUUCACUGGGCGUAAAGGGUGCGCAGGCGGCCGUGUGUGUAAGGUGUGAAAUCCCGGGGCUCAACCCCGGAACUGCGCCUUAAACUACAUGGCUAGAGUAUUGGAGAGGGUAGUGGAAUUCACGGUGUAGCAGUGAAAUGCGUAGAUAUCGUGAGGAACACCAGAGGCGAAGGCGACUACCUGGACAAUUACUGACGCUCAGGCACGAAAGCGUGGGGAGCAAAAGGG